GUCGGGAGUCUUGCACAAUGGGGGAAACCCUGAUGCAGCGACGUCGCGUGUGGGAUGAAGUAUUUCGGUAUGUAAACCACUUUUGCGGGGGGCGAAAAAAAUGACGGUACCCCGCGAAUAAGCCCCGGCUAACUACGUGCCAGCAGCCGCGGUAAUACGUAGGGGGCGAGCGUUGCUCGGAUUGACUGGGCGUAAAGCGCGCGUAGGCGGUCCAUUAAGUGUGCGGUGAAAUUCGGAGGCUCAACCUCCGUCCCGCCGCGCAAACUGAUGGUCUUGAGAUUGGGAGGGGGAUGCGGAAUUCCUGGUGUAGCGGUGAAAUGCAUUGAUAUCAGGAGGAACACCGGCGGCGAAAGCGGCAUCCUGGCUUAUAUCUGACGCUGAGGCGCGAAAGCGUGGGUAGCAAACGGGAUUAGAUACCCCUGUAGUCC
rnacentral:rRNA from 1 species